rnacentral:rRNA from 1 species
GCGAACGCUGGCGGCGUGCCUAACCCAUGCCAGUCGCACGUGAAAGGGAGCAAUCCCAAGUAAAGUGGCGUACGGGUGAGUAACACGUAGGUAAUCUACCCCAGAAUCUGGAAUAACCGGCCGAAAGGCUGGCUAAUACUGGAUAGAGCGUCGGAAUCCGUAAUUGGGUUUUUCGGGAAAGGGAGCCUGUAAAAAGGCCUUCGUUCUGGGAUGAGCCUGCGUCCCAUCAGCUAGUUGGUGAGGUAAAAGCUUACCAAGGCAAUGACGGGUAGCUGGUCUGAGAGGACGAUCAGCCACACUGGAACUGAAACACGGUCCAGACUCCUACGGGAGGCAGCAGUGGGGAAUCUUGCGCAAUGGACGAAAGUCUGACGCAGCAACGCCGCGUGAGUGAAGAAGGCCUUCGGGUUGUAAAGCUCUGUCGAGUGGGACGAAAAUGCUUGGAGUUCACAGCUCCAGGAACUGACGGUACCACUAAAGGAAGCACCGGCUAACUCCGUG